rnacentral:rRNA from 1 species
AACGAACGCUGGCGGCGUGGCUAAGGCAUGCAAGUCGAACGGUCAGGGCUAGAAACUAGACACUAGAAACUAGAGACUAGAACGGAUGACUCAUCCGUUUCUAGUUUCCAGUGAGGGCGCAGCCCGAUCUAGUCUCCAGUUUCUAGUCCUGAUAGUGGCGAACGGGUGAGGAAUACAUGGAUAACGUACCCUAGACUCAGGGAUAGCGGCGGGGAAACCCUUUGCGAAAGUGCCGGUAAUACCUGAUGACCCCGUGAGGUCGCAUGAUCUCGCGGGCAAAGUUACGGCGGUCUGGGAUCGGUUCAUGCCCUAUCAGCUAGUUGGUGAGGUAACGGCUCACCAAGGCUGCGACGGGUAUCGGGCGUGAGAGCGUGACCCGAC